GCGAUGGUGGUGUAGCGGUUAGCAUGGCUGCCUUCCAAGCAGUCGACCCGAGUUUGAUUCUUGGCCAUCGCA